rnacentral:rRNA from 1 species
AUUGAACGCUGGCGGCAGGCCUAACACAUGCAAGUCGAACGAGUGGCGGACGGGUGAGUAAUGUCUGGGAAACUGCCUGAUGGAGGGGGAUAACCACUGGAAACGGUAGCUAAUACCGCAUACUAUCGGAUGUGCCCACAUUGGAUUAGCUAGUAGGUGGGGUAAAGGCUCACCUAGGCGACGAUCCCUAGCUGGUCUGAGAGGAUGACAGGCCACACUGGAACUGAGACACGGUCCAGGCUCCUACGGGAGGCAGCAGUAGGAAAUGUUGGACAAUGGGCACAAGCCUGAUGCAGCCAUGCAGCGUGUAUGAAGAAGGCCUUCGGGUUGUAAAGUACUUUAAGCUAGGAAGCGUUACCCACAGAAGAAGCACCGGCUAACUCCAUGCCAGCCGCCGCGGUAAUAC